rnacentral:rRNA from 1 species
GAUGAACGCUGACAGAAUGCUUAACACAUGCAAGUCGAUGGGGAAGUGGUGCUUGCACCAUGGCAACCAUGGCGGACGGGUGAGUAACGCGUAAGGGACUUACCUGCAGGACUGGGAUAACAGGGGGAAACUCCUGACAAGACCGGAUAAUGUCAUGGAGCUGCAUGGCCUUAUGAUGAAAGGAGACGCCUGCGGAGAGCCUUGCGUCCUAUUAGCUAGUUGGUGAGGUAAUGGCUCACCAAGGCGAAGAUAGGUAGCCGGCCUGAGAGGGUGGACGGCCACAAGGGGACUGAGAUACGGCCCUUACUCCUACGGGAGGCAGCAGUGGGGAAUAUUGGACAAUGGGGGCAACCCUGAUCCAGCAAUUCUGUGUGCACGAAGAAGGUUUUCGGAUUGUAAAGUGCUUUCAGCAGGGAAGAAGUAAGUGACGGUACCUGCAGAAGAAGCGACGGCUAAAUACGUG